GCGCCCUUAGCUCAGCUGGAUAGAGCAACGGCCUUCUAAGCCGUAGGUCAUUGGUUCGAAUCCAAUAGGGCGUGCCAUUU
rnacentral:tRNA from 1 species